GAUACAAAAUAAUUUUCAUUAUUCUUAUAUAUAUUGUCUUACCUUAAUACUUGACUGGUGGUUGGCACCGGAGAUUUGAAUUUGAUCGAUAUUAUUACUCGGCUAAUACUCGGUAACCAGUUAGUUUAUAAAUAAUUAACCCCUAUACCUCUAAUAUAAAUAUUGUUCCAAUUUACAAUGAUAGCAAUUUUUUUUGAAAUUAAAUCUGACUGUGGU